AUUGAACGCUGGCGGAAUGCUUUACACAUGCAAGUCGAACGAUGAACCUUAGCUUGCUAAGGGGAUUAGUGGCGAACGGGUGAGUAAUGUAUCGGAACGUAUCCAAUAAUGGGGGAUAACUAGUCGAAAGAUUAGCUAAUACCGCAUACGUCCUACGGGAGAAAGCUAGGGACCUUCGGGCCUGGCGUUAAUGGAGCGGCCGAUAUCUGAUUAGCUAGUUGGUGGGGUAAAGGCUCACCAAGGCGACGGUCAGUAGCUGGUCUGAGAGGACGACCAGCCACACUGGAACUGAGACACGGUCCAGACUCCUACGGGAGUCAGCAGUGGGGAAUUUUGGACAAUGGGCGAAAGCCUGAUCCAGCCAUUCCGCGUGAGUGAAGAAGGCCUUCGGGUGGUAAAGCUCUUUCGCAAGAGAAGAAAACUUAAGCUCUAACAUAGCUUGAGGUUGACGGUACCUUGAUAAGAAGCACCGGCUAACUACGUGCCAGCCGCCGCGGUAA
rnacentral:rRNA from 1 species